GCAGGACUUUUGUGAUGGGAGUGAUGCAUGUGGUGAUCGAGGCCCUGGACCAUGCUGGCCAUUCCCACUGUGUUUCAGGAACCACCCAGCACCAAAUAUCUUGCCAGCUACAGGACAGAGAUGAUGGCGCUAAUCUUCUGUUCAGUGCAGUUCAAUGACUGAACCAUUAUUCUCAGAGGAACUGGAGUUGUGGAGGCACUUUCUGAGGAACAAGGUGGUGCUGAGCUGUGGCCAGGCCUUCAGAUGGUUCUGCAUCAUAUUCGAACAGGACAGCUGCCUGCGACUCGGUCAGAGCUCAUCUCGUCUUUUUAUGGGCCCUUCCUAUUGAGGAUACCAUCUAUUUUUUUUACCCUCCAGAAAUUGUAAACCUAACUCUACCUGAACCCAAAUAUCAGUUCAGAAAAGAGAACCAAGCUUCUUCUCUCUCUGCGUAUUGUAUGUCACAUGAAUUCUGUGGACUCUCCCAGGCACAUAGCUGAUUAACAAGGAAGGAAGGAAUUGAAGGAUCAACAAGGAAUACGAAAAAACAUAACGGAAGAUAUGCUACAGAAACAAGCGUAGGGGAGUCCUGGAAAACGCAAUCAACUGGACAGCCACGGCCUCACUGGACAACCGCAGCUCUCGGUGCGACUGUACAUGCUAGCAAUCCAUAAUCAGUGUUUCAUAAUCUCAAAGAUGCCAUCUUCAAGCGGGGAGCGCCUGAGAGGUGAGGAGAAAAUAAGCACGUGUUCAACGCUCCUCCAAAGGGAUUAUUCUGUGUGUCUCACUAAUUAGUCCACCAAUUAUUUCGGUGUUCUGGUUAUUUACUUUACCUAACACUAUAGUGCUGGGAUUUUUCCAUUCCCUCCACCUCUGCUCUCAUUCCAACUUUUAGUCUUUCUUGCCAUUCCAAUUUCUCUCUCACACAUACCCUACUUCACACCUCGCUCACAGUUAUUCUCACUCCCGGUGAGGGUGGACUGUAGAGGUUAGUAUGCUGGAUCCCUGACCCGGAUACCGACCCACUUGGAGCUAAUUGGCUUUGUGCUGCACCGCGUGGGUCUCUCUGCCACCACAGACUAGGAUCCUGGAAUAUCAGGCAUCUGUCAGAGGGAAAGGUUAUUCCGAUUGUGAGGGUCACUGAGGGCUUUUUUUUUUGCCUGUGGGACCAACUACAUUAAUAUUGUGAAUACAGCUAUUUUAGAAGGAAACCCAAUUAAAGGAAAAUGCUGGCCUAAAUAUUAUCUGGGUUUUAAAUAUGUAAAGCGUGUUAUGCAUGUUGUUCACAUUAUAUUUUUUAUUUAUUUGCAUGCUUACAAAUGAAUGUUAUAGUUGAUGAAUUUCUUUAU
rnacentral:lncRNA from 1 species